CGCCGGGAUCUCCUCUGUGGGAAGAUGGUUCCUCUUCCUUUCCAGCCUUCCAGCCUGGUCCGAAUCUUUAUCAGCUCAGCUUUUUUCAGAUCCUCCCAUGCAGACCUGGCUGUGGAGACAGAUGCCCUCCUGGAGAAGGCGUAUCCAGAGGCACAGGCCUAAUGUUUGAGAAACGGGCUGUCAGACACGGAACUUCUUCCCAGGCAAUUUGUUGAAGUGCUGCAGCAUCGUUACCUAUCAAAACAAGACCAAAU